rnacentral:rRNA from 1 species
CAGUCGCCACGGUAAAACGGAGGGUGCAAGCGUUAAUCGGAAUUACUGGGCGUAAAGCGCACGCAGGCGGUCUGUCAAGUCGGAUGUGAAAUCCCCGGGCUCAACCUGGGAACUGCAUUCGAAACUGGCAGGCUAGAGUCUUGUAGAGGGGGGUAGAAUUCCAGGUGUAGCGGUGAAAUGCGUAGAGAUCUGGAGGAAUACCGGUGGCGAAGGCGGCCCCCUGGACAAAGACUGACGCUCAGGUGCGAAAGCGUGGGGAGCAAACAGGAUUAGAUACCCCGGUAGUCCCUGUCUCUUAUAC